rnacentral:rRNA from 1 species
GACGAACGCUGGCGGCGUGCUUAACACAUGCAAGUCGAACGAAGAGCGAUGGAAGCUUGCUUCGAUCAAUCUUAGUGGCGAACGGGUGAGUAACGCGAAAUCAACCUUCCCUUCAGAGGGGGACAACAGUUGGAAACGACUGCUAAUACCGCAUACGAUCUAAUCUCGGCAUCGAGGAUAGAUGAAAGGUGGCCUCUACAUGUAAGCUAUCACUGAAGGAGGGGAUUGCGUCUGAUUAGCUAGUUGGAGGGGUAACGGCCCACCAAGGCGAUGAUGAGUAGCCGGUCUGAGAGGAUGAACGGCCACAUUGGGACUGAGACACGGCCCAGACUCCUACGGGAGGCAGCAGUGGGGAAUCUUCCGCAAUGGACGAAAGUCUGACGGAGCAACGCCGCGUGAGUGAUGACGGCCUUCGGGUUGUAAAGCUCUGUUAAUCGGGACGAAAGGCCUUCUUGCGAAUAGUGAGAAGGAUUGACGGUACCGGACUAGAAAGCCACGGCUAACUACGUG